CGGGGAGUAGCGCAGCCUGGUAGCGCGCCUGCUUUGGGAGCAGGAUGUCGCCGGUUCAAAUCCGACCUCCCCGA
rnacentral:tRNA from 1 species